rnacentral:rRNA from 1 species
UACGAGGGGGGCUAGUGUUGUUCGGAAUCACUGGGCGUAAAGGGAGCGUAGGCGGGUGUCUAAGUUGGGUGUUUAAUUCCGGGGCCCAACCCCGGGCGUGCACUCAAAACUGGGCAUCUUGAAUAGGGGAGAGGUCGGUGGAAUUGGAGGUGUAGCGGUGGAAUGCGUAGAGAUCUCCAAGAACACCAGUUGCGAAGGCGGCCGACUGGACCCAUAUUGACGCUGAGGCUCGAAAGCGUGGGGAGCAAACAGG